AUAAAAAAAAAAAAAAAACACGGAGAUUUACAAAAACAGCAAGAAAGCAAUCAGGAGGGAGAAUAUCUGUGAUAGAGCGAAG
rnacentral:lncRNA from 1 species